rnacentral:rRNA from 1 species
UUCGACACACUAUCAUUAACUGAAUCCAUAGGUUAAUGAGGCGAACCGGGGGAACUGAAACAUCUAAGUACCCCGAGGAAAAGAAAUCAACCGAGAUUCCCCCAGUAGCGGCGAGCGAACGGGGAGGAGCCCAGAGCCUGAAUCAGUGUGUGUGUUAGUGGAAGCGUCUGGAAAGGCGCGCGAUACAGGGUGACAGCCCCGUACACAAAAAUGCACAUAUUGUGAGCUCGAUGAGUAGGGCGGGACACGUGGUAUCCUGUCUGAAUAUGGGGGGACCAUCCUCCAAGGCUAAAUACUCCUGACUGACCGAUAGUGAACCAGUACCGUGAGGGAAAGGCGAAAAGAACCCCGGCGAGGGGAGUGAAAAAGAACCUGAAACCGUGUACGUACAAGCAGUGGGAGCCUCUUAAUGGGGUGACUGCGUACCUUUUGUAUAAUGGGUCAGCG